rnacentral:rRNA from 1 species
UUGACCUCGAUCACGAG